rnacentral:rRNA from 1 species
AGUGGCGAACGGGUGAGUAACACGUGGGUGAUCUGCCCUGCACUUUGGGAUAAGCCUGGGAAACUGGGUCUAAUACCGAAUAUACCCUGCUGGUCGCAUGGCCUGGUGGGGGAAAGCUUUUGCGGUGUGGGAUGGGCCCGCGGCCUAUCAGCUUGUUGGUGGGGUGAUGGCCUACCAAGGCGACGACGGGUAGCCGGCCUGAGAGGGUGACCGGCCACACUGGGACUGAGAUACGGCCCAGACUCCUACGGGAGGCAGCAGUGGGGAAUAUUGCACAAUGGGCGCAAGCCUGAUGCAGCGACGCCGCGUGGGGGAUGACGGCCUUCGGGUUGUAAACCCCUUUCGCCAGGGACGAAGCGAAAGUGACGGUACCUGGAGAAGAAGGACCGGCCAACUACGUGCCAGCAGCCGCGGUAAUACGUAGGGUCCGAGCGUUGUCCGGAAUUACUGGGCGUAAAGAGCUCGUAGGUGGUUUGUCGCGUUGUCCGUGAAAACUCACAACUCAAUUGUGGGCGUGCGGGCGAUACGGGCAGACUGGAGUACUGCAGGGGAGACUGGAAUUCCUGGUGUAGCGGUGGAAUGCGCAGAUAUCAGGAGGAACACCGGUGGCGAAGGCGGGUCUCUGGGCAGUAACUGACGCUGAGGAGCGAAAGCGUGGGGAGCGAACAGGAUUAGAUACCCUGGUAGUCCACGCCGUAAACGGUGGGUACUAGGUGUGGGUUUCCUUCCUU